GAUCCUGGCUUAGGAUGAACGCUAGCUACAGGCCUAACACAUGCAAGUCGCGGGGCAGCAUGGAUUCUGCUUGCAGUAUCCGAUGGCGACCGGCGCACGGGUGAGUAACGCGUAUCCAACCUGCCUCCAUGCAGGGCACAGCCCGGCGAAAGUCGGAUUAAUUCCCUAUGCCCUCCCUCGCGGACAUCCAAUGGGGAGGAAAGGCUUCGGCCGCAUGGAGAUGGGGAUGCGUAGGAUUAGCUUGACGGCGGGGUGACGGCCCACCGUGGCAACGAUCCUUAGGGGUUCUGAGAGGAAAGUCCCCCACACUGGUACUGAGACACGGACCAGACUCCUACGGGAGGCAGCAGUGAGGAAUAUUGGUCAAUGGUCGGAAGACUGAACCAGCCAAGUAGCCGUGCAGGACGACGGCCCUACGGGUUGUAAACUGCUUUUAUGCGGGGAUAACCGGCGGCACUAGUGCCGCCCUGCAGGUACCGCAUGAAUAAGGACCGGCUAAUUCCGUGCCAGCCGCGGC
rnacentral:rRNA from 1 species